rnacentral:lncRNA from 13 species
AUGGGGAAAGAAAGUUUGGAAAGGAUAAGUACAUUGCAAAAGUCACACAGCAAGCUUUCUGCUGAAAAAGCAAAGUGGGCAGAGCAAGAACCUGAGAACAGCGAGAUGUCCUCCGACAAUGCAGUGCUUUCUGUACCAUCUGCUGGCUCUGCAAAGGUAAUUAACAAAUGCAUACUAUUCCCAGAUGAGGCUGGCUUAGAAAGGACAAACCACGCCAGGAAAACGGAGAGGAACAAAGUAAAAUCAUGGCAGACAAACAAGGCUGCUGCAGUCCUGGCUGUCAGUGGAGUGUGUUGUUAGAGCUUCUUGUUGAAUUAUAACAUCUAAAAAUGAAUUCAAACAGAUUCAACCAAGGACAUAGAAUUUCACCCCUGCUGGGAGCCUUAAAGAAAGGGUGAAGAAAAUUGUAGGGUGCUGAGUAUUUUCUGACUCCCAGAUCUUAUAUGCUGUAUUUAUAGUAAUUUUUAAAAAAGGAGAAAUAAAAACUAAUGCCAAUGAAAGCUCA